UCUGUUCAAUAUUAUUUUUUUAUACAAAGUAUUUUUAUAUUCUCAAAAAUGAAAUAACUAAAGUUUACAAAAAAAAUGAAAUAAUUAAGAAGAGAAAAAUGGUUUUUUUUUUUGGUAAAAGCGACAAAAAAUGCGGACAUGAGCAUGUUACUGUUGCACAUGAAUUGACAACACAUGUAGUAUGAAAAGUGUUUCUGUAAAUUGCUAAAUGAAUAAGACUGAAAAAGAUUGGUGAAUGUGUUGUGUUCGAGAAACAUGUCUGUCACUGUGUCUUUUAGAUAUCCGACCUAGGCUUUAAAAGCAAGACCCCCUUAAUCUUCACAUUAAAUCCACACCUUGAUUAAAUAACGGCUUCGGAUUUCAUCUAAAAUUAGAAUGAAAAUCAUUGAACAAGACCCUAGUAGCGGAUGAAUCUUUGAGAACUUUUAUUUUACGUAGAUCAAAUAAGAAAAUAAUUCUUUAGUGUUGUUUUUCAUAAAUGUUAUUUAUGUAAUACUAUAUGACAUCCUAAAAAAAAAUACAACUGCUCCUUUGUCGGGUUUACCGUUAGUUAAAAACUGUGUAUAUAUUUUAUAUUUACGAUGUUUAGAUUUAGUUUAUUUAUCUAGCUGAUUUUAAGUAACUACUCUCUAAUGCAGCCAUGAGCCAUGUAUAAAGUUCUACAAAAUAUUUUCUCACUUAAUCAAAAUCUAUCCUAUACUAAAAGCCAAAUAUAAAGGGAUUAUAAGAUGUCCACGUCGAUAAUUAUAUUUGGCCAAUGAAAACAUUUCAUUAAUACACGUAGGAUCUGCUCUGUGAACUGAUGAUUUCGUAUGGGCUCUGAUCUGUUCUCAUGGGCUUCAUCGGUUAGCAAUGGACUGAGCUAUCCGGUUCAAUUGAAAAAAAAAAUCCCGAGAUGGAGAACACGACGAACUACGCCUCUCUCCUCUAUCUCUUCGAACACGAAAAACUAAUCCCUCUUGCAUGUUCAGUCGCUAUUAAUCUCGAUACAACUUCUCGCGGAUAAACAGGUUAAUUAGUUAACUCCUUUUGGUAAUCAAAUUUUCCUUUCGUUAUGUUUGAUUCCUCUUAUGCGUUUUUGGUAACCAAAUUUUUGUCCAAGCUGAAUCGUUCUAAAUAUGUAGUAAACCUAUCAUCUUAAUUCGUCGAUUAGUCACAUAAUUCGACUUUUGUUUUGGCGUUCACAGUUCACACUAAUGAAUGUUGUUGUUGAUUCUUCUCAGGUUCUGAUUGCAUCGCCUCAAAGGUUUGUCAAUACCGGUUAGUUUCUUUGUUAAUAUUGUGCCACACCAUCUCUUUCAUCACAUGAUCUUAGUCGGUUCUUUCUCUACAAUCAGCUGAUUGCUUCAUGACUUUCCUACUUUGGCUUAUUGAAACUCAUAUCCAGGAGCUGGAGGAGGAGCUUAAGCUUCUCAAGAAUCACUCUCAACCAAAUAUAGUUGUAAGCAAUAAAAGGUUUUUGUAUUUCUUACAAAUGUUUGUUACGCCCACUACGUCUUUGUUUCGUUUAUAACUCUUUCAUUUAAACCCACUGAGAAUUUUGUUUCUUUUAUAACAUGAAACAUGAAAGUAAGAACUUGUGAUUGAUUUAUUUGAAAGCUGUGUUUUUGUGAACUUUAUGGUCCUGCAGAAAGAGAUAGACAAGGUUUUCUAAUAAGCAGCUUUUCCUUCGUCUCAGUGAGUCUCCUCUUUCCAUGGACGAUGGGAGAAGGUAAUUUUACAAGACAUCCCCAAUUUUGUAAUGCAUGGUUUCUUCAAACUAAUUGUUAUAAACUUGAUUUGGAGCUUUUGGAUGUAGAAGAGAAGCGGGAAGAAAUAUGGAUGUUAUUAGUGAGGUAGCUGGAGCAUUGGCCACGGCUGAGGGAUUAAUAAAACUUAGUGAGGUAUUCAAGCUAUGGACGGUGUUGGGAUCUGAUUCUUAAGCUCAGGAUGCAAUUCGUGUAGCCGUUGCAAGAAUCAGAAGCUUCAUAACCUAAGGACGAGAAAUCACGGUUACAUAACUUCAGAGUUGUCCAUGCUAGCGCUAAGGUAUGUAUGGCUUUGCUUCACUUUCAGUUGUCCUUAAGCUGAAGCUUACUAAAUAUUAUCUACCAUUGAUAUCAGUAGAGAACUUUUCAGUGUAUGACAACAUAUGUGAUUGCAAGAAUUCAUGACGUUAAGCAACAUUGUGUUCUGAAUCUGUUUCUUGUGGUGUUGAUGUGGCCGUUUGAACUCCACGUGGAUCAUUGAUCUAAUUAAGCGAGGAGAUUUAAAUCUAUAUGGGGUUCAGUUUCCUUUUAUUUGUUAGGUUAGGUAUGCUCUUAGUUGAGAGUGUUGAGACUUUCAAACUGUUAGAUGGACGAAGGCAACAUUUGAUUGCAUUUAAGGCAAUUUGAUCAUAUAUUUCAAGAGGGAGGAUUACAUUGAUAAAUAAAGAAGAGCAACAGAACCUCUCUUUAUCUUUCUGGCAGCUCCUUCACCAGGCAACAUAUAUUGUUUUCAGCAGUUCUAUAUGGUGUUGUAGUCGGAUUUUCCAAAUACUUUGAGGUGAGUAGGGGUAUGAACAAGAGCAGAGUGAGCAGUGACCACAACAUCUUUCUUUUGCAUCUUUCUUAUACAUCUGAAAGACAUGCGAGUGCAUAUUAAAGCAGCAUCUUUGAUCUUUCAGAAACAAAAGUUAUCUUUUUGUAUGUUGUUCUUUCCUGAAGAAUGAUGGAAGACUAAAGAGAGAGAGACAGAGAGAGCAAGAGACGUGACUGCAGGUAAAAAAUGAUCUGUGAACAUUAAACUGCAUUAAAGUUAACUUAAUUGCUUCCACCGCUGCUAUUUUAUUUUUCUUUUGCGUUUUUUCUAUUCUGGAUGAAUAAUAGAGAGCUUAAUCAAUUGUUGUGAUGCACACGUAAGCUAUCAUUGGCGGGUGAACUAUUUAUGCGACGGUUGAAAGGGGUGAUUUGCCUCAGUUUUUGGAAGAUCAUCAUGGGAAUUUCCCGUGAGAAUGAGUUAUUUGCAAGGUUCAAGACUCUAAGUCUGGUCAAACCUGAAAGAGAGGCUGGGAUGCUUCCCUUGAGUUCAUUGUUGGAAAUAUCAAGAACUUUGAGGUUCCUUAACUCCGAGAAAAUCGCUGGUAAUGGAUCCGAGUAAGUAGUUAGGUGUAAGAUAGAGAUGAGUCAGGUUCUUGAGGAUGAUGAUGUAAGAAAAUGGCUUUUGUUUAGCUGGAGAAUUUUUGCAGGUUAAAAAUGUGUUAUAUAUUGUGAAAUUAGAUAGAUACGGGGCAAGUUGCUUGAAAAAAAUAUUUGUUUUAUAGUCUGAGAAAAAACAAGAUGCAGCCAUUAACAAAUAAUGACUAUUUAUCCGCAUUUUAGUUUUCUGACUGUUCUAUUAUUUAAUUUUUUUGCGUGAAACAUUUCACAGUAACAAUUAUUUUCACUGUAAUGUAAAGCAAUCAGGGUAAGCCGUGACCGGUGUAAAUUUCAAGGCGAUCAACUCUUUUUUAGUUAAGGUCGAAAUAAUCUACAACAUUUCAAAGUUAAAAAACUACAACAUUUUAUGAUAGUUUACAAUAUUUUCUUAUUUACUUUUGUAUUAGGGGUUAUCCACUAGGAGAAGCACAACUAAAGAUUAAUAAAUAAUCAAAAAAAAUCUAAAAUAAGAAAUCUAAAAAAUAUAUAUAACAAUAAAGUUUGAUGAAAAUAUACUAUAUAACCCAAAACACACAAAAUAAGAAAAACACAUAAAUAUCUAAAUAAAUAGGCAGCUUAGAAUAAAACUUAGGGAUUUUUUUUACGAUAUUGUCUUUUAAUGUUCAUCAAAUGAAAUAAAGGAAAUUAACAAGAAAUUGAUGAAAAACAAAACUAAAGUAGUAUACAAUCAAAUAAUCUUUUAAUAAAAAUAUUCAAAAACCAAAAGGUAUACUCUUUCUGUUUUUUAUUUAAAUGUAAGUUUUAUUAUUUUCACCCAUAUUAAUAAAAAUAUUAAAUAUUUAUUAUUGACAUAUUAAUCUGUAAUAAACUAUAUCCCAUACCUUUUAAUCAACAUAAUUAAAAAAAACAAUUUGUUUUUGAACUGUAAAAUUUAAAAUAAACAAUGUAUUGUAAGUGUAAGAAUGUAUCUUUUUAAAAUAUAUGUUAUUUUUAAAAAUAUGAAUCUUUUCUAAAAAAGGAAAAGUAUAUACCUCAAAAAUAAACACAAGAACAAAAAAAAUAUGUAAAAUAAAGGAAAAAGUUA